rnacentral:lncRNA from 1 species
GUGGAAAUUACCAAAAUGCUAAUUUCACUAAUAUUGGUUCUUUUGUCGUGCCCAGCUCUUAAUAAUCACAGUAACAUUCCAUUAAAUGGACUGGAGAAGUCUUGAUUACAAUAAUCAUAUUGCUUUUUACUUUUCAACACUAUUGGAUCUUGUGUCAUACCAUCUUUAGAUGGUGGAUGGAGUAUAUGGAGGUGUUCCUGCUACCUCUCUAUAUGUAGACAACGUCACUGUUGUUGUGAGGUUCUUAUUUCUAAGCCUUAAUGUAUGUCCGUUACAGCGCCCUUAGGGAGCAAAACGUGGCAGAUAUUACUACACCCUCAAAUUUAAAUGGACUGUAGAAGUCAAGAUUACAAUAAUGAUACUUUCAGCACCAUUGCACGGUUUGGUUGUCUUGCCCAGCUCUUAAUGGUCCAAAAUGCUGUACAAUGGGUUAUGUUUUAAAAAUUGAAGAUAAAAGAUUAAGUUUUGAAUAUCUUCUUUUUUUCUCUGAAGAUGGCAAAUCAAAUUAUUAAUUCACGAGCUCUAGAUAAUAAAAAUAUCAGGUGUUAAAGUUUGGAGGUAUAAACAAGUCAUUCUCAAUCAAAAUAUUGCAAAAUUGUAAUGUUAGUGGAUUUUCUCAUUGUUGAAGCCCAUACAGUAACCUAUUUUACAUUAACAUCAUUUGGUCUCUGUAGGAUAGUUGUCUCACAUCUCUUGAUAUCACAACAAAUCAAUUUGUAGGUUCUAUAAAGUGGUCCAAUCCUAUGGUGAAGGGAGGGGAAAUUUU